CCUACGGGUGGCAGCAGUGGGGAAUAUUGGGCAAUGGAGGAAACUCUGACCCAGCAAUGCCGCGUGAAUGAAGAAGGUCUUCGGGUUGUAAAGUUCUUUAGUCAGGGAAGAAUAACAUGACGGGACCUGAAGAAUAAGCUCCGGCUACAUACGUGCAAGCAGCCGCGGUAAUACGUAGGGAGCAAGCGUUGUUCGGGAUGACUGGGCGGACAGGGUGCGUAGGCGGUUAUAUAAGUGAGAAGUGAAAUAGCCAGGGCUUAACCCGGGUGCUGCUUCUAAAACUGUAAGACUUGAGUGCAGUAGAGGUUAGUGGAAUGACUAGUGUAGCGGUGGAAUGCGUAGAUAUUAGGAGGAACACCAGAGGCGAAGGCGGCUAACUGGACUGCAACUGACGCUGAGGCACGAAAGUGUGGGGAGCAAACAGGAUUAGAUACCCUAGUAGUC
rnacentral:rRNA from 1 species